CAGUCGCCGCGGUAAUACAGAGGGUGCAAGCGUUAAUCGGAAUUACUGGGCGUAAAGCGUGCGUAGGCGGCUUCUUAAGUCGGAUGUGAAAUCCCUGAGCUUAACUUAGGAAUUGCAUUCGAUACUGGGAAGCUAGAGUAUGGGAGAGGAUGGUAGAAUUCCAGGUGUAGCGGUGAAAUGCGUAGAGAUCUGGAGGAAUACCGAUGGCGAAGGCAGCCAUCUGGCCUAAUACUGACGCUGAGGUACGAAAGCAUGGGGAGCAAACAGGAUUAGAUACCCCGGUAGUCCCUGUCUCUUAUAC
rnacentral:rRNA from 1 species